rnacentral:rRNA from 1 species
GUGGGGAAUCUUGCGCAAUGGGCGAAAGCCUGACGCAGCAACGCCGCGUGCGGGAUGACGGCCUUCAAGGUUGUAAACCGCUUUCAGCAGGGACGAAAAUGACGGUACCUGCAGAAGAAGCCCCGGCUAACUACGUGCCAGCAGCCGCGGUAAUACGUAGGGGGCAAGCGUUGUCCGGAUUCAUUGGGCGUAAAGAGCUCGUAGGCGGUUCAGUAAGUCGGGUGUGAAAGCUCCGAGCUCAACUCGGAGAGGCCACCCGAUACUGCUGUGACUUGAGUACAGUAGGGGAGCGUGGAAUUCCUGGUGUAGCGGUGAAAUGCGCAGAUAUCAGGAGGAACACCAGCGGCGAAGGCGGCGCUCUGGGCUGUAACUGACGCUGAGGAGCGAAAGUGUGGGUAGCAAACAGGAUUAGAAACCCCGGUAGUCC